ensembl:lncRNA
AAAAGAACAAAAAGUGAGCUGGUUACGAAUGUAGGACAAACAGCUGCACUAUGAUGUAAUAUGUGGAGAAGGAUUCGUCAUUAAAUGUGAUACGUUUAGCUCAGUCUAAAGCUGAGCUGCAGAAGAGCUGGCUUUAGAGCUUUAGGUUUCUCUCAUUUUCUUAUUUUUAAAUCUUCAUUGAUGGAAGUUGUGCGUUGCACAGGGGGACAGAUAAGAAAAAAGCCGUUAAAGCAAGCUGUUUUUAGCAUUCCCACUCCAUCCGCCCUGCCUGCAAUCUCUUCUUCAUUUCUCUUGUGCACAAUCUCUUGGUUUGGGUGGUUGAUACUAGGAAUUUAAACUCAUCUGCCUUCACUGUCUUUACUCCUUGCAGCUUCAUCAUUCCACCUCUCAUUCACACACAUGUAUUCUGUCUCACUUAUGUUCCUCUUUAUUCCAGCGCAUACCUCCACCUCUUCAGCCUCUUUUACAGCUGUUCUCUACUCUCAAUAAAGAUCAGUCUUGUCUGCAAUCAUCAUAGACCAUGCAUACUCUUGCCUGAACUCAUCUGUCAACCCGUCCAUUACUGUUGGAAGCAAAAAGGGCCUAUCUUGAACGUCUCUGUCACUUCUGCCAACAACGUUCCCAUAUCUUCAUCACUUUUAUAGCCCCUCACUUCCUCCUUACCAAUCCUCUUCCUUCAUCUAUCUUCUUCUUUAAUUUUCUUCAGUAAUCAGCUCCUUAAAGUACUCCUUCCAACUUAACACACUGUUAAUUCAUUUAGUAUGUUUCUGUCUCUAUCCUCAUCCUAACCUGCUGCAUAUCCUUUCUAUAUGUUUCUGUCUCUAUCCUCAUCCUAACCUGCUGCACAUCCUUUCUAGUGAGAUCUCUCCAUGAUCUCUCUUUAUCUCAUUUAAAACUUCAUUUGAGUUUAUUUUCUCAUUUAAGUGUAAGGGGGGAAAAAAGCAUUUGGCACAGCUGCUGUAUCUGGUUUCCACGGUCACAUUUUAAAAUCAUGAGUCUUUGCCGUAGUAUCACGAAAACAUCUGUCAUUUCUGCAUAGCAUGUCAUUUUCCCCCUGAUUCUCUUGCCAACAAAAACACUGUAUUUGGUUUCAUGUGACGCAGCAGCUGUGUGUCGUAUGUUGUGUAUGAUGUGUUAAAGGGAUAUGUUACCACGUACUGUACACCAAACUAUCCUCAGUUACUGUAAAGAGUUUUGAUGUAGUGUAAUUUACACACUCCAAAUAAAGAAGUACUGCGAGAACAAGAG